rnacentral:rRNA from 1 species
UACGUAGGGUGCAAGCGUUGUCCGGAUUUAUUGGGCGUAAAGGGCGCGUAGGCGGUUCGUUAAGUUGCUGGUGAAAUCCCGGGGCUCAACUCCGGGGCUGCCAGUAAGACUGGCGGGCUAGAGCACGGUAGAGGCAGAUGGAAUUCCCGGUGUAGCGGUGGAAUGCGUAGAUAUCGGGAAGAAUACCGGUGGCGAAGGCGUUCUGCUGGGCCGUUGCUGACGCUGAGGCGCGACAGCGUGGGGAGCAAACAGG